CAGAAAGUCAAAAUUAUGUGUACACUUGUUAUGACCUAUAACCAUGGAUGUUCAUUAGAAGUUACUGUCAUGGAGACAAUGUUUUAAGUACAUAAGUCAAAUCACAUUAAAUAUAGGUCCAGAUCAACACUGGAAGGUAUGAUUAGUGUCAGAGAGAAAUAUGGCUGUCUUAUGGACUUACUUAUAACAAUAGAAAAUUGAACUUAGUUUCACAUUAUAAAGUGAAGAUACAGUCCAACUUGUGUACAGCAGACAGUCAAGGGAAGUUGCAAAAGUGACUGUCGUACUCAGGUGAAUUUUUAGAUGGUGGGUAAGGUGAUAAUAUCAUUCUCAUUAAAAAAAUGGACCCCAAAAGCUUAGAUAUAUUCACUCAUAUCUAGUUAUUUAAUUACAACCUUAAUCCCUUCUCAAAAUAAAAUACACUUUUUAACAAAAUACGCUUUAAAAAGUGUAUUUUUUCUGCAUUUUUACCGAAAAGUGUAUUUUUUCUGCAUUUUUUUCAUAAUUAAGUGCACUAAAGUGCAUUUUUUCUGUAUUUUCAUUAUCUUUAAGUGUAUUUUACUGUACUUUAAGUGUAUCUUCUGUAGACAAAGUGCAUCUUUUUAUGCAAUAAGUGCAUUUUUUCAAUGAAGUGCAUUUUUUGUGCAUAUUAGUGUAUCUUCUGAUUUGCAAAAAAAAUAUUCUUUCUGUACAAGUGUAGUUUUAGUGCAUCUUCAUAAAAAAGAGCAACACUAUAGCAAAUAACUGAAGUUAAAGGACAGAGAUAUAGUGUUUAAUAGGAGGAUUGUACUGAAUUCUUUUUUAUCUUCACAUAAUGUUUAUGGUCUUAUUAUUACAAUUUGUCUGCUCAUAAAAUAUGUGAAUCAGUAGGGCAGCUUUUAAAGGGAAAAGUACAACUAAAUCAGGCUGUGGGUAAAUAAUUAAAAAUAUUGAAAGUGUCAAAAAAAUUAUGUGGUCUUGCCAGAAUCAAUUAUAUCUUCACAACAUAAAAAACAAGUAUUUGAACUUUCUUACACUGAUAUUUAACCCCAAUUCAAUUAAUGUCUACCACAUUGACUAUUAACAUACAUUUUAAAAGACAAUUUAAAUAAUAUUUAUAAUAUUAUAUUUAUUUCCUAACACCAUUCAGUAUGUUAUAUUGAAAUAUUCACAAUUAAAUAUAAUAUGCUAAGUGUGCUGUGUAUUAUUCAAUAAAUAUCAGAUAAGAUCAGGAUCAGAUAAGAGAUCAAUUAGCAUCAUAAACACUAAUCCCUAUCAGUGCUCCAUCUAGCCAAAACAAAGGGGUGUUUAUAGAAUUUUGAUUGGUUCUGGGACCAUCUAUUUGAAAACAAACCACUUUUGAUUGGUUGGAGCACAGCAAGUUAUUUGGAGCACAUGAAGUUAUUUUUGUAAACAAUUUGGUUUCAGCAACUUAAAUUGAGCUAAAUUUUUAGGUAUAAUUCAGCAACAUUAAUUCUAGUGUCAAAUGUCUUGAAAUUCUUUCAGCACAUGAACUAUUGUGUUAUGAAAACAAUGUGUAUUUACUACAAUGUGUAAAUCAACAAUAAGUUUGUUGCAAAGAAGAUUCAAAGUGGGUGGUUAAAGUGAUCAACAACUGCCGUUUUUGUUUUUUUGGAAUGCUGAAGAACAGCUGUAACAGGUUUGUAUUUUCAUUUCUGCAUCUCUUUUUAAUUAAAUUAAUUAUGAUCAUUAUCAUAUUUAUGUAUUGUCACUGGGAAAUGUAACUGGAUGAGUAAAUGUAAUGCAAUUUUAAGGAAAAAAACACCAUUUGAAUUAUUAUGGCUGUAUUUUAUGGUUAUUGUCAUCUUAAAAUUUAUUUAUACCUAUUUCUUGUCAUUAAUGAACAGAUUUCUUUCCCCCAUAUUUAAUCAGAACUUUAAUAUUUUAUAUUUGAAGGUUAAACCCCAAGGUGAAAUUUACAUUGAUCGGAAGAUCCAUUGGACAGAAUGUGCAUCAUCGCCUGCCAAAAAAGGGAGCAAAAAGGGGACUACCUGAUGUAUGGACAUGUAUACCAGGCCAACUUGAGGGGAACAGGAGUGGGAAACCGUGCCUUGUAGCUUGUCCUUGACCAAGAAAAGAUGGAUUUGUUGAGAGGACCUGAUCUCAAAUGAGAUCAUGCACGAGAAGCGCCUCGCAGACCAUGACAGUAGUAUUCAGACCUGAUCAGCUGGUGAAGUGCUCUAUAAAGGGUUGUUUAUGAAUGCAUUCUUUGUAAGGAACAGUGUAUAACAACAAAUAUAGUGACAGGGGCUAAGCUGCUAAAUAUUGUCAGCAUGUAUGCAGUGAU